AUGUUGCUGGAUGAGGAAGAAGCAAUUCAUCAGGAAGCAAUAAGAAGAACUUCAGUGAACCUGUCGGAUAAGGAAAGAUUUGCUGUUUUUUUUGCUUUGAAAGUGAUCAAGAGUAGAGAUGGAGCUAUUCAGCCAGAGGACAAGAUACUCAUUGCAAGACUAUUGAAUACAGGCAUACGAACAGUUGAAAGAAUAUGUAAAGAUGCAAAUAAACAAAUUGUAGAAGGCCAAGAAGUGGUUGUCGCAAGCAAAAGACCAGGUAGAGUUGGAAGAAAGAGAAAGAACUUGGAUUUGUCAAGGGCAUCAACAAUCCCACUCAACAGAAGGAGAAUGGUUCCCCGCUCGACCCUACACAGGAGGUUCAAGUUAGGUGAGCUGAAGCGUGUCACUAGCACCGUGAAGCCUACCCUCAAGCCAAAGAAUAAGAUUGCAAGACUGAAAUUUUGCAUGUCCAUGCUCGAUGAGCUUUGGAUCUCAACUUCACAUCCUCUUUUCAAGCCAAUGACAGACAUGGUCCAUAUAGAUGAGAAAUGGUAUGAUAUGACAUGA
rnacentral:rRNA from 1 species